AUUGAACGCUGGCGGCAUGCCUUACACAUGCAAGUCGAACGGUAACAGGUUAAGCUGACGAGUGGCGAACGGGUGAGUAAUAUAUCGGAACGUGCCCAGUCGUGGGGGAUAACGUAGCGAAAGCUACGCUAAUACCGCAUACGAUCUACGGAUGAAAACGGGGGAUCGCAAGACCUCGCGCGAUUGGAGCGGCCGAUAUCAGAUUAGGUUGUUGGUGAGGUAAAAGCUCACCAAGCCUGCGAUCUGUAGCUGGUCUGAGAGGACGACCAGCCACACUGGAACUGAGACACGGUCCAGACUCCUACGGGAGGCAGCAGUGGGGAAUUUUGGACAAUGGACGCAAGUCUGAUCCAGCAAUGCCGCGUGCAGGACGAAGGCCUUCGGGUUGUAAACUGCUUUUGUACGGAACGAAACGGUGAGCUCUAAUACAGUUUGCUAAUGACGGUACCGUAAGAAUAAGCACCGGCUAACUACGUGCCAGCAGCCGCCGCAG
rnacentral:rRNA from 1 species